CCAGCUAAUCGUUUUUUAAGAUGAUUUGUGGUCAUUCCUAUAUAAACAUUGUCGCAGUCCGAACAAGAAAUACUGUAGAUGAUGUUGUGUUGUUCAAGCGGUGGGAUGGGAUCUUUUACAUUUUUGAGGAGAUGAUUUCGGCAAGUGUUCGGCUCAGAAUGGGGAUGUUUGGCACUGACCUAUAGAUUGUUUCGGACGAUUGGUGAUGUGAUUCGUGGUUGGAGGCGUUGGGCUGUACUCUACUCGUUGAUGUUGGCUGUGAUGGGUCUUGCAUUGGUGACGACAUUGAUGAUGCUGAGGCUGGUACCUACAGGCGGUUGAGAUGGAAGUGGUGGCGUUGGCGGCGGUGGUGGAGGAGGCGGUGAAAACUCCCUACAAAAACAACAAAACUAAAUCCCAUAUUACAGGUGCAGAAAUGCUACAAGAAGCUCCAAAAGAAACUGUGGCACUAGUUAUAAAUUAUAACAAAAAACGAUAGACAGCGUAGGUUCCUUAAAUGUUAAAAUUAUGUUGUACAUGUCCCUAAUUGUAAAACUGUUCUCUUUUAGUUUACCCUUGGAAAAGGCCAAAUAAAUUAGGCUGAAACGUCGGGCAAUGCCAA